CCUACGGGCGGCAGCAGUGGGGAAUAUUGCACAAUGGGCGAAAGCCUGAUGCAGCAACGCCGCGUGAACGAAGAAGGCUCUUGGGUCGUAAAGUUCUGUUCUGAGGGAAGAAGAAAGUGACGGUACCUCAGGAGAAAGCCCCGGCUAACUACGUGCCAGCAGCCGCGGUAAUACGUAGUGGGCAAGCGAUGUCCGGAAUUAGUGGGCGUAAGGAGUACGUAGGCGGUCUGUUAAGCGCAAGGUGAAAGGCAUAGGCUCAACCUAUGUGAGGCUUGCAAACUGGCAGACUUGAGUUCAGGAGAGGAAAGCGGAAUUCCUAGUGUAGCGGUGAAAUGCGUAGAUAUUAGGAGGAACACCGAUGGCGAAGGCAGCUUUCUGGACUGGAACUGACGCUGAGGUACGAAAGCGUAGGGAGCAAACAGGAUUAGAUACCCGAGUAGUC
rnacentral:rRNA from 1 species